CGGUACCAAUAUUCAUUUAAAUAACUGUAAAAGCAUUGGAAAUUGUUUUAUUUUUUUAGGGUGUAUUGACAUGCAUGACAACAUUAACAGGGCCGUCCACGACAACAUCGAAGCAACAGCUGUGGUGUCUUUGUCCUAAUGUAUUCACUGAGCUUUGUGACAGCAGGGGCCUUUGAUUUUACGGAGGCUGACAUGCCUUGCAUCAGGAGGUGGUGGUGUCUGCUACUUUUGGAAAAUUUCCCCUUGAG